rnacentral:rRNA from 1 species
GACGAACGCUGGCGGCGUGCUUAACACAUGCAAGUCGAACGGAAAGGCCCUGCUUUUGUGGGGUGCUCGAGUGGCGAACGGGUGAGUAACACGUGAGUAACCUGCCCUUGACUUUGGGAUAACUUCAGGAAACUGGGGCUAAUACCGGAUAGGAGCUCCUGCUCCAUGGUGGGGGUUGGAAAGGUUCGGCGGUUGGGGAUGGACUCGCGGCUUAUCAGCUUGUUGGUGGGGUAGUGGCUUACCAAGGCUUUGACGGGUAGCCGGCCUGAGAGGGUGACCGGCCACAUUGGGACUGAGAUACGGCCCAGACUCCUACGGGAGGCAGCAGUGGGGAAUAUUGCACAAUGGGCGGAAGCCUGAUGCAGCAACGCCGCGUGCGGGAUGACGGCCUUCGGGUUGUAAACCGCUUUCGCCUGUGACGAAGCGUGAGUGACGGUAAUGGGUAAAGAAGCACCGGCUAACUACGUG